rnacentral:other from 1 species
UGCCCACUGUGGUAUUUGAUCACCGGGACUCGAUCCUUGGUCCUUAAAUCACGACCCCGGGAGCUGACCUCAUUGAAGGCGUGCGCAGGUCCGUUUAUCGGAAAGCCUAAACUUUCAAUCCAGGCUCCCCCCCUUGAGCUUUGCGGUUCGGGGACGCUGACCCGACCGGUACUCACGGUGGGCAC